UGCGUAGGCGGAAAAUUAAGUCAGUAGUGAAAUCCUGCAGCUUAACUGUAGAACUGUUAUUGAUACUGGUUUUCUUGAAUAUAGUUGAGGUAAGCGGAAUGUGUAAUGUAGCGGUGAAAUGCUUAGAUAUUACACAGAACACCGAUUGCGAAGGCAGCUUACUAAGCUAUGAUUGACGCUGAUGUACGAAAGCGUGGGGAGCGAACAGGAUUAGAUACCCUGGUAGUCC
rnacentral:rRNA from 1 species